UCCGGUUUGUCACCGGCAGUCUCCUUAGAGUUCCCGGCAUUACCCGCUGGCAAUUAAGGACAAGGGUUUCGCUCGUUAAGGGACUUAACCCAACAUCUCACGACACGAGCUGACGACAGCCAUGCAACACCUUCGCACAUUCCACCGGUUAAGGAGUUACUCUACUUUCAUAGAGCUAAUCCGUGCGCUUCGAGCCCGGGUAAGGUUCUUCGCGUUGCAUCGAAUUAAGUAACAUGCUCCACCGCUUGUGUGAGCCCCCGUCAAUUCCUUUGAGUUUCAGCCUUGCGGCCGUACUCCCCAGGCGGGGCACUUAAUGCGUUAGCUACGGCACGGAACCCGUCGAUAGAGUCCCACACCUAGUGCCCAACGUUUACGGCGUGGACUAC
rnacentral:misc_RNA from 1 species